UAAACAUGCAAACCCCUCUAAAUACAUUAACUAAUAGUCAACAUUGAAAUUAAACAUUGGGUCGGGACUAUUUUUUGCAUAUCUUUAGCACAACAUAUGCUCCUAGGAAAAUUUUAUCUGAAGUAAUUUUAUUUUUAUUCUCUAAUAUUUUCACUAUAUUCCACAAGGUGCCAUUAAUGGCACUAACAUUUAUGUUUGCCCAGCACUAGGUUGUUUCAGCUGUUGCUAAUAAGGUCUUCCAGCAACAAAUUUUCCUAGCACGGAUGAGUGUUAAUGCAACCUGGGAAGUUUCUAGCUUUGUAAAAUCUCCUUGUGGGUUUUGCAUCUCCAGAGAUUCUAUUGAAAGAGACUCUUCAAUCAGAAACAUGAGGCAAACUCUUCACAGCCAAACGUAUCCCCCUGCAGUUAUUCAAAUUAACGUAAUGCUGCUAUUUGACUAGUUGUCCUUGAGAUGGUUGUUUACUAGUUGUUUCUAAUAAAGUAAUUAGGCAAAACUCAUUAUUUCUAUCACUGUAAUUUUAAUUAACAACACAAAACUUACAUAUGCUGUUAAAAAGGACAAAAACAUAUAUGGGAGGGCAUAUUCUUUCAGAUGUUGUCUUAGAAAGAAAGUGAGACUAGAAAAAUGGGAAAACAGAAAAGGGAAGAAAAUGCAAAUUUUAGAUUUUCCUAUGUGACUCCUUAUAGUAAGACACUUCCUUUGUCCUUUUGUAAAGUCAGUUCUUUUGUUUGGUUGCCUUUUUUGCAUUGGGUUGUUUGCUUUAUUAAAGAACUUUCCCCCAGCUUGUGCUUUCAUACUCUCUAAAAUGUGUUUUAAUAUGUAAUUCUCUACAGGAACUGUAGAUGGAGAUCAUAGUCAAGUUCAGAGCACAAUCACAUUUCAGAACAAACAGUAACUGGACGGACAGUGCAGGGGAAGUCAGACAGAACUUUCAGAGUGUAGAGCAAUAAGGGGCAAGAUAACAUAUAAUGACAGAAAAAAAAGAGAAGAAGAGAAGAGAAGAGAAGAGAAGAGAAGAGAAGAGAAGAGAAGAGAAGAGAAGAGAAGAGAAGAGAAGAGAAGAGAAGAGAAGAGAAGAGAAGAGAAGAGAAGAGAAGAGAGAAAAAGAAGGAAAGAAGAGGGAACAGUUCCCAAAUCUAAGUUUUACAGAUUAUGGUUUCCUGGAAACUACUCAGAGCACAGAAGUGGAUUUAACUGACGGAUAUCGAAGCCAUCAACGGUGAUAGUACCUUAAGUUAGGAAACAGUGAAGCCAAGUGUGUUUGACACGUACUAAAAAGAGUCUGAAGGAACAGCUGAGAACGACAACCCCUGGGGAAUCACACACUGUACUGGUGGAUCAGAAAUGCAAAGCUAUGCAGGCACCACCACAAGGUAACCAUACACCCCAAAAGGAGACACGCACCUCAAGCACAUGAACCCCAGCUGUGUAUAAGGUUUAUCUGAGAUGCAAAGCAUUAAUUGUUGCAAAUGAGAGCAACACACAAACCAUACCUGAGAUAGGAUCAUACAGCCGCAGCAGGAGGGAUACAAUCGUUGAUUUCCCUGUACCACUUGGGCCAACGAGAGCCAUAACAGAGCCCGCUGGAAUGGACAGGCUGAAAUCUUUGAAAAUUGAUACUUCUGGACGUGUUGGAUAGGCAAAUUCAACAUCUUUGAAUUCCAAAGCACCUCUGAAUACAUCUUUGCCUAAUGUGAUUCCCUCUAUAUAACAAAGAAUAAAAUACAGAAAUGUGAACAGAAACAAAAAUUAGCUCAGCCCUCCUAGAACUUGCUUUACAGACACUCAAUAGAAGCACCUAUCUCCACGUUCAAUCUAUGGAUAACUGCAAGCCACAAUUCAGAACCACAGUGGUUAUAUUUCAGCCAUGAGUGAAUCAGUGUGGUAUACCAAUCAUUCCUGAAUGCAGUUUCAGGUUGUUCACCAGCACAGAACCUAUAGGCUACCUACAGCAAGAGGGAGAAUUUGCAUCUUGCUAAUACCUAAACACUAACAACAAUCACUUCUCAUAGAAUUAUCUGAAUUAGUGAACAUACUACAAACAAUUAAAGCUUUGUCAAUUAGGAGCAAUUAAAUGAAAAGGCAUUGGUGAAGGCCAAAGUCCUGUUGCCACAGAACACAAAAAGAUAAACAUUGCAAAUCAUUUAUUGCCCUUUCACCAAGCCACAAAAGUCACCUGAAGCACCCUCCUCUGAACAAGAGCAGCUCCUGUCACUGGAAUAAAGCUGCUGCUAGGUUUGUUGCACUAACAGACAAUUUUUAGUUUUAUUUUCUCCUUUCAGUGGAAAGCAUAUUUAAUAAAUUCAAAUACCAAUUCAGAGGCCUAGCUCCUGGGCAACAGUUCACUGAAAGGAAAAUUUCUCUUUGUGAAAUUUUCCAUCAAUGAAACCACCAUGAAUUAACAACUACCAAAGUUAAAUAAAACCAGCUUCUUUCUGGAAGACAGCAUUUGACUUAAAGAAGUAUCUUAAUAUCAUUACUAGAAAAAGUUGAUAAACAGUUAAGACAAAGACACAAAAUUUCUUCAAACCCUGUUAAAACCCAGUGACAUAUAUCCAUAAAAAGCAAAUUAAUUGGACAGUGGGGCUGCAUUCCCAAAAGAUGAAGUUCCCACCAACUUUGUAAAAACUGGCAGUACUAGAGCAAUAUACCCUAGUCAUGAUUGUUUGUGCUGGAGAAACACAGCUCAAACUCUUAAUUCUUUUCAGAUGCAGCACACAAGUAACUCCCAACCAGCCACAGAAUAGGGUAGCACAUGCCAAUGUUUGGUUAAACAGUAACUGUGGAUAGGAAACAAAGACACCCAUCAGUAACAAUCAAGAUUUCAGUAGUUCUGCUCUUUUUUUUCCAGGUUUCCAUUUCUUCUCCAGGUUUUCAGUUUAAUGAUAGUUGCAUUGGAAUGGAAAAGGCAAAAGCAUACAAUUCCAGAUUGCUUCCUUGACUUUAACUGAUGGACACACACACUGUAAUGUUUCCAUAAUAGCCUGUAAACCUCCUUUUCAGAAAAGAAAUGUGUUUGCUAAAUCCUGUGUUAGCAGCAUAAUCCUUAUUACCCCGGUAGCAAGUAAUCACUUAAGUCUCAGCUGCAGUUACCGCACAUUCUAUCCAUGGCCUGAAACACUAAAUCUACUGCAAUACAGGAAGUCUGCUACCACAAGUCCUUCCUCCAUAUAUCACUGUAAAAAUAUCUAAAAGUUAUGUACUUGUCUCUUGUUUGGAUUCUAGACACAAGAAAAAAGACAUUAUCAUUUGUUCCCAAGAUAUCUGCUGUCACCAGCAACAACCAGAGUUCUGCAAAAAUAAAAUCUUGCCCCCUCAAAUACAGAAGAAAUGUGGGUAGUAUUAUGGCAAGGAGAAAGGUGCAAAUCACUCCAAAAGCAACACCUGCUGUAGCUGCACAUCCAUACUACUCCAAGGAGCAGAAGUCCCCCUAUCAGCCCUAGCCUUUACUUCCUUUUAUUCCCCAGUCAUGUUUCAGUCCCUGAUUCCUAUGUCAAAACAAUCCAAAAACUCAGUUUAGUAUGUGUGGCUGAAAGGCCUCAAACUGUGUGUUUGCAAGUAAAGAUUCAUAUCAUUCAUGUCGUAGGGGCUGAUUUUCACUGGAUCAGUAUGAAAUGUUUAAGCUUGCAAUACACUCAAUGAAAACCACCUGGUUUUGAAAGUUUCUCUGAUCAUUUCUUAGCCAUUAGAGACGAGCACGGUAAACCAUUCAUUGGCAAUAUGAGACACAGCCAUCUCAAAGAGCUCCUCCCUCCUCUCCUUUUUUUCUUUCCACUCUUUUCCCUCUAAAGCAGGAAGUAGUGCUGACAUCAACAAGCAAUUCCACAAAGCUAGAAAUGACCAUGUUCUCAGUCACAUAAAUUAGAAAGUAACAUGAUUUAAAAUCAUAUUCUGAAUUAAAUAAAUAAAAAUAAUUAAAACAAAAGUAAUUAAUUAAGCUAAACUUUUGGCUUCUAAAAUUUUUUAUUAAAGGAAUUUUUCAUCAUCUGUUUCAUACUUAGGUAAAGUCAGAAUGAUUAUGACUAUAUUUAGUUUCUUUGAAAAUGAUGUAAGUCAGUACUACGUUUAAGUGUUACACACAUCCUUCUAAGGUAUUGCUGACCCAUAAGACAAAAUCAGCCUUUAAACAGUAACAAACCAAGAACCUACCAUUAAAUGGAAGUUGGGGCUUCCUUUCAAUAAGUUCCCAAAGACGUCCACCAGCACCUAGUCCUUUCAUUAGCUCAGAAUAAAAGGAACUUAGACCUGAAUAAAAAGCAGAACAGUAUUAUGCAUCCAUAUGCAAUGGAAGACACAGAAGAGAUAAAAUUAGUGUUACACUUUGCAGCAGCAGCAUUGAAGGAUCAGAUGUGUAGAGGAUCUUUUAUUCCAACAAACUGUUAAACAUGUUAAAUCCUAUCUAGUCUAUCUAGUCUCAUUUGAGAGCUUCCAAUAACCCUUAUUCACCAUUCUUAUUUAUAUCUGUAAAACAAAUCACUCUGAAGAAAAGAAAAUGCUAAUACACUUCAGCUUAUGUAUAUCCUUUGUCAUUCACUUGUCAGAAAGAACAGCAUCCAGCUUUAGGAAAAUGGCUUUGCAUUCAACCAGUUAUAUUCCCAGAACAUUCAGCAGAACAGAGCAUUCUGAAUGCUCUUCUUUCUCAGACAAGUUUACAGGAAUACAGGAGAGCCUGGCUGAGUCAGUCACAGCAGAGAGAGGGCACAAAACCUAAGGCUGAAGUGAUGAUUGAGAAGGUGUGUGGAGAGUGGAGAAGUGGAAAGCAAUGUGCCUUCCAUGCCAGAAAACUUCAAACAGUACUGGAGAAAGCAAAAGCUAAGGACGAGGCCUGCACAUAGUAGUGGGUCCCAGCUCUUAGCACAUGUGUGAAUCAUCUUGAAAGUAGCUUGGCUGAAGGGCUUUCCAGAUGACAUAAACACAGAAACCAACAUAUAGCUAAAAAUGGAGUAGUACAUAGAUAUAAGAUGUCCAAUUUCUUAAAUUUGUGUGUGCCUUUAAAAAGAAAGACACCGAUUUAAUGAUCUUUGAAUUCCGGUAAAAUGCUUAAAUGUUAUUUCAGGAGGGCAGAAAAACAAAGAUGGAUUUAAAAAUAUGUAUAUCUAAAUAUGUAUAUAUAUAUAUAUAUAUAAUGGAUUUACUGGUUUAUUUUUGCAGAGCAAGAAGCUCAGCUCAAAGUCACAAGUCUGUAAGUGUAGGCAGGGUGUUUCAUCAUGCUGCUGCUAAGGACUAUCUGAAAGUUUGCAACACUGGCCAUGGCGAGAAGCUGUCUACUUGGAAAACAGAGCCAAAGAAUCACAUCCUAGAGCAGGACAUGGCAGGGGAAGGCAUAAGCCUCACAGAGCAACUUCAAACUCAAACACUGAGGUUUGCAAAUCCACAACUACUCAUAAACAAAACAUUAUAUAAUAUGGACAGCAAAUACAAAUUAGAAAACACUUACAUUUUUCAUAACCCAUGUACUGUGUUUGGAAGAAAACACAGCAAACUUACAACAAAGAGGGGCAAAGUCACAGAUUAUGCAGUGAACUUCACAGUUGUUGCAUCGACCCCCACAUGUACUGAUGACAUAUACAGAGCAGACUUAGCACUUGGAAGAUUUAUAUGCCUUGUAGGCAUCUAGGAAAGCAGGCCUCUUGUGGCAAGACACCUCUGCUUCAGAGUCCCUAUGAGAAUGAGCUCUGUGCAGAACUACACUCUACAAUAAUCUGACCUAGAAUUUAAAAAUACGUUUUUAUAGCAAAUGAAAGUUAAUUUAAUGAUAUUUUUAGCAGUGCUUCUAAUCAUCAUUUAUUUAACAUCAGCUUGUCCCAUGUUUUCAAAGUGCCAGGUAUUUCUCCAUUGACCAAACUUCAAUGAUUUAAGCAGAGAAGAAAGGGGGCUGGUAGUUGGAAUGGGUGCCACUGGAAUUCUGAUAUACAAGGAAGCAGGUUUGUUAAAUUUUGCCCUCAAGCACAAGGGCAAAAUUUGUCCUUCCCAUGAUAUCAGGCCUAGUCUUAAAAAAGAAAAAGCUGCAUUGCCCUCCUAGUCUAGCAGGCUCAUUUUAAAGAAGAAUACUUCCAGUACAUUGUAGAGCUUCUGAGCAACUUAUCUUCAUUCUUGCCUGUAUGCAGCCAUGAAGACAGCUCUGACAAAAAGAUAAACAGCUUGUUGCUGGGUCAGUAGAUUACAGACUAUGGGCUUCUGGGAGGAGUCAGUGAGUAAGGAAAACCGGAAGGUUAGCACCAAGUGCAGUAUUCUGCUGGCACUUUGUUUACUCUUCCAGUUGAGGACACUCUAUACUGAAUUACAGCUAAAUGUUACAUGCCUUUCUAAAUAAAGUAUGCUUAACACAGACCCAAAUAUUUUAUUGCUUUACAUAAUACAGCAAGUAUCUUAAUUUAGACCUUAAGAAAAGUAAUGUAAUAUAUACUGUCACAUGCACACAUUGAAAAAAAACUACCUUUCUUUUGGGGAAAAAGAAGGCUUAUAUUAAGUUACAGAUUAUUAUUUUAGAAAUAAAAAUUCAGAAAAAAAAAUCUUGAGAAGUUAAUUUAAAAAAAAUAUAAUUUCUUCAGAAGUUAACUUGGAAGACUUUUUAAGAAAGUCAGAUUUUUUAAGAGCUUCUUCCCUCCCACCCCUAUGAUGACUGUAAUGCUUUGAAGUGAAGAAAAUCUAAUUUCCUGUUCCAUACCUCCAAUGCUUAUGCCAACCCAGAAAGCAUACAUUAGGAAAGAUGAGAGUUCACCAACUGUCAUGUAGGCACUGCCCAUUAGUAAUCCACCUUUGUAUAACACUGAGAGGACAAUUAAGUUUCCAGAAAGGCCAGUCUAAGGAAAAAGGAAAAGGCAGACUUUGUCACAUACAUCUUACAUUUCAUCCUCUAAAAUGUUGUUUCAGAACUUUCCUUGUAAUGAAAAGAACUCUCACACUAUAGGUAUCUAGACUUUUGGAGGACUGAGGUAAAUUCAACAAUUCUAAUGUAAAGCCAGCCAACAGCCAGCCAGACAUCCAUGGCACUGUGCUAUCCAACAAGUGUUCAAAAAGCAAGCAACUAUUUUUUGGCUUUUUUUUCCCCACGUGGAAAGGAGCACUAAACAUUAUUCUCAACCAUCAUUACCAAGGAAGAAUUGAUAGUCUUCAGUUAUGUUCCAGUUUUAGAAUUCAAUUAGACAAACAGUUAUGGAAAAAGCCAAGCCUACCUACCUGCGCACUCCCCACCUUGCUAUGACUGAUGCUCCUCUCACUGGGGAGCCAAACCUCUAAAUGCUAAGGGCAGGGGAAGGUUUCCACUGGUUUAAUUCCUUGAAUAGAAGGUAUGGCCUCAGAUAAGCAGUCCCCUGCCUGGGGCAUGGUACAGAAAUUGCGGCUUAAAGUGAUUUUAUUGUACUGUUUUAUCUUGAGAUGCAGUUUCACAGCAAUUUAGAGUUAUUUAAGUCCAGUCAUCCCACAGUUUUAUACGUUAUAUACAUUCAAUUUAUUUUCAAUAAUUUACUUGCAGAUUUUUAAGUAUUAUCAGGAGUUUUAAAAUAAUUGACACUUUGCAUAACAGGGUUGGCUUACUUUCAUUAAAUAUACUUACUGCUCCAAAGAAGCCUGCUCGAGCUAGUGCCUCUUUUUUAGCCAGCUGUAGCACAUAAUCAACUUUAUUUGUGUACUUCUCCAUUUCAGCCACUUCUUGCCCAAAAGCUCGAACGGUUCUGAUGUUUCCAAUACGUUCUUCAGCUAACUGCAUUGAAGCAAAGCACAAAACAGAUCCACAGAGACACACAAUUUGAAAUACUCACAUUACAGAACAUCUGAAAGUUAAAUCAAUAUCACUUCACUAAUUUACAUAUCCUUGGAUAGCAUUAGAAAAUUUCUCAUGGCUUCCUCUCCACACCCCAAACCCCAUUUUUUAAAAUUCUAUUAAGUUAAAAGCAAAUUGCAUGCCCAGGCAGUUUUAAAAAAACCUCAAGAUUGUCUUAAGUGCUAGCAGAGACAGAAAAAUAUAAAACUAGGGUUAAAAAAUUUGGUGUAAACAACACCCAUAGGGAAGCUACUAUUCACAAUAUUCAAUAACCAUGUGGGAAGAGAAAAAAAAAAGAAUAUUCUUUUCCUUACUGAGUCAUGCAAAAAAAGCCUGCAGUUAUUUCCUAAAACAAUUCCACUCAUUUGAUCAAAGCAAUGCUGGGAAUUAAUUUAGCCCAACUACUAAUGUCUCAUUUCGACUCAGUAUUUUAACUUCUAAACAGCAAAGUAUUAAUUCUAAAAUACCUCAACUGUAACCAAUUACACUAAGUUGUUAAUGGACAUUGUGA